rnacentral:rRNA from 1 species
UUCCGGUUGAUCCUGCCGGAGAUCACUGCUAUUGGAAUCCGACUAAGGCAUGCGAGUCGAGAGGGUACGGCCCUCGGCGGACUGCUCAGUAACACGUGGACAAUCUGCCCUUAGGUGGGGGAUAAUCUCGAGAAAUUGAGCAUAAUACCCCAUAGCUCUAGAUUGCUGGAAUGCUUUUAGAGUCAAAGCCCCGGCGCCUAAGGAUGAGUCUGCGGCCUAUCAGGCUGUAGUGAGUGUAACGGACUCACUAGCCGACGACGGGUACGGGUCCUGGAAGGGAGAGCCCGGAGAUGGACUCUGAGACACGAGUCCAGGCCCUACGGGGCGCAGCAGCUACGAAAACUUCACAAUGCGGGAAACCGUGAUGAGGGGAUUCCAAGUGCUAAUACUUUGUAUUAGCUGUUUACUUGCCUAAAAAGCAGGUAGAGUAAGGGCUGGGUAAGACUGGUGCCAGCCGCCGCGGUAAUACCAGCAGCCCGAGUGGUGACCGCUAUUAUUGGGCCUAAAGCGUCCGUAGCCGGUUUGGUAAACCCUUGGGUAAAUCGGGCAGCUUAACUGUCCGACUUCUGAGGAGACUGCCAGACUUGGGACCGGGAGAGGUCAGAGGUACUUCUAGGGUAGAGGUGAAAUUCUGUAAUCCUAGGAGGACCACCAGUGGCGAAGGCGUCUGACUAGAACGGGUCCGACGGUAAGGGACGAAACCCUGGGGCGCGAACCGGAUUAGAUACCCGGGUAGUCCCAGCUGUGAACGAUGCGGGCUAGGUGUUGGGGCAGCCACGAGCUGCUCCAGUGCCGCAGAGAAGUUGUUAAGCCCGCCGCCUGGGGAGUACGGCCGCAAGGCUGAAACUUAAAGGAAUUGGCGGGGGAGCACCACAAGGGGUGAAGGCUGCGGUUUAAUUGGAGUCAACGCCGGA